rnacentral:lncRNA from 1 species
CGGGAAUUUGAGCUUGUCUAGUGGAGAUCAGCGAGGCUCAUGUUCUAGGUCUCGACAUCAGCCGCUUGUUCUCUGAAGUAGUGAGAGGGAAGCUUCUGCAUCAGCUAAGAGGACCAUAACGGAUUUGGAUUGGACCCCGUUUUGAUGAUGAUGAGUCAUGUUCUCGGACAAGGGAGUUUUCUAUGUCAUUUGAUUUUCCGGGGGACACAUCCUUUUCUGAGGACCGUUCCUCUAGCAUUGAGAUAAACCAGAGUUUUCGCCUGGCUGGCAAUCUGGUGGAUAAGUUCGAGCACUCUGUGUAG